GCGCACCAGUCGAGAAAACUUCACACUGUGCGAAAGCACGAUGAGGGAAUCCCAAGUGCUUGCACGUAAGUGUAAGCUGUUUCUCUGUCUAAAACGCAGAGAGAGUAAGGGCUGGGUAAGACGGGUGCCAGCCGCCGCGGUAAUACCUGCAGCUCAAGUGGUGACCGUUAUUAUUGGGCCUAAAACGUCCGUAGCCGGUUUAAUAAAUGCCUGGGUAAAUUGUGUAGCUUAACUAUACGAAUUCCGGGUAGACUGUUAAACUUGAGACCGGGAGAAGUUGGAGGUACUCCUGGGGUAGAGGUGAAAUUCUGUAAUCCUAGGGGGACCACCAGUGGCGAAGGCGUCUAACUAGAACGGGUCUGACGGUGAGGGACGAAGCCCUGGGGCAC
rnacentral:rRNA from 1 species